GUGGCUUGUGUAUGGUGAAACUGACUUGAAACUAGUGGGGUUCACUGACUCCAACUUUCAAUCAGACCAAGAUGAUAGCAAGAGUGUGUCAGAUUAUAUUUUUAUCUUGAACGGUGGAGCAAUCUGUUGGAAAAGUUCUAAGUAGCACAUCAUGGCUGACACUAUUUGCAAGGCAGAGUAUAUCGUGGCAUCCGAUGCUGC
rnacentral:lncRNA from 1 species